GGAAAGUCGUAACAAGGUUUCCGUAGGUGAACCUGCGGAAGGAUCAUUAUUGGAUUUUGAAACUUCAGGCUGCUGCUGGCUCUCCUCGGAGGGCAUGUGCACGCUUGUUGUCCAUUAUUUCUCCCACUGUGCACAAAUUGUAGACCUUUCAGUAGGCCUAUGUUGUUUUUCACAAUCUCUGAAUGUAAUAGAAUGGUUUUGAAUCUUGGGAAAUACAAUACAACUUUCAGCAACGGAUCUCUUGGCUCUC
rnacentral:misc_RNA from 1 species